UGGGACUGAUGGUGUAUCUGCUGAGUUUAACAGAACUGUUUCUGUUGGAGGUCUCCUGGGACUGAUGGUGUAUCUGCUGAGUUUAACAGAACUGUUUCUCACCAGUUGGUCCCUUUUCUGUUGGAGGUCUCCUGGGACUGAUGGUGUAUCUGCUGAGUUUAACAGAACUGUUUCUGUUGGAGGUCUCCUGGGACUGAUGGUGUAUCUGCUGAGUUUAACAGAACUGUUUCUCCCCAGUUAGUCCCUUUUCUGUUGGAGGUCUUUUCUGAAAGCAUUGUAAAUAAUGCUCUCCCUCCCAGUUUGACUCAAGCUCUGACUACAUU
rnacentral:lncRNA from 1 species